GUCGAACGGAGAUUAUACGCAGAGGCGAUUUCGGUCAAAUCAUGUAAAAUCUUAGUGGCGGACGGGUGAGUAACGCGUGGGUAACCUGCCUUACACUGGGGGAUAACACUUAGAAAUAGGUGCUAAUACCGCAUAAGCGCACGAAGCCGCAUGGAUUUGUGUGAAAAACUCCGGUGGUGUAAGAUGGACCCGCGUCUGAUUAGCUUGUUGGCGGGGUAACGGCCCACCAAGGCGACGAUCAGUAGCCGGCCUGAGAGGGUGGACGGCCACAUUGGGACUGAGACACGGCCCAAACUCCUACGGGAGGCAGCAGUGGGGGAUAUUGGACAAUGGGGGGAACCCUGAUCCAGCGACGCCGCGUGAGUGAAGAAGUAUUUCGGUAUGUAAAGCUCUGUCAGCAGGGAAGAAAGAAAUGACGGUACCUGACCAAGAAGCCCCGGCUAACUACGUGCCAGCAGCCGCGGUAAUACGUAGGGGGCAAGCGUUAUCCGGAAUUACUGGGUGUAAAGGGAGCGUAGACGGUUAAGUAAGUCUGGAGUGAAAGGCCGGGGCCCAACCCCGGGACUGCUCUGGAAACUAUUGAACUUGAGUGCAGGAGAGGUAAGCGGAAUUCCUAGUGUAGCGGUGAAAUGCGUAGAUAUUAGGAGGAACACCAGUGGCGAAGGCGGCUUACUGGACUGUAACUGACGUUGAGGCUCGAAAGCGUGGGGAGCAAACAGGAUU
rnacentral:rRNA from 1 species